UAGAGUUUGAUCCUGGCUCAGGAUGAACGCUAGCGGCAGGCCUAAUACAUGCAAGUCGAACGGUGGCAGCAAUGUCAUAGUGGCGCACGGGUGCGUAACACGUAACUAACCUACCCAUCAUUGGGGGAUAGCCCGCCGAAAGGCGGAUUAAUACCGCAUAAGACAAUAGAAGGGCAUCCUUUAGUUGUUAAAGAUUUAUUGAUGAUGGAUGGGGUUGCGGGUCAUUAGCUAGUUGGUAAGGUAACGGCUUACCAAGGCGACGAUGACUAGGGGAGCUGAGAGGCUGGUCCCCCACACGGGCACUGAGAUACGGGCCCGACUCCUACGGGACGCAGCA
rnacentral:rRNA from 1 species